UACGUAGGGUGCAAGCGUUGUCCGGAAUUAUUGGGCGUAAAGAGCUCGUAGGCGGUUUGUCGCGUCGAAUGUGAAAACCCGGGGCUCAACCCCGGGCCUGCAGUGGGUACGGGCAGACUAGAGUGUGGUAGGGGAGACUGGAAUUCCUGGUGUAGCGGUGGAAUGCGCAGAUAUCAGGAGGAACACCGAUGGCGAAGGCAGGUCUCUGGGCCAUUACUGACACUGAGAAGCGAAAGCAUGGGGAGCGAACAGG
rnacentral:rRNA from 1 species